rnacentral:rRNA from 1 species
AAUAGAUACCCGGGUAGUCCACGCCGUAAACGAUGAGUGCUAAGUGUUAGAGGGUUUCCGCCCUUUAGUGCUGCAGCUAACGCAUUAAGCACUCCGCCUGGGGAGUACGGCCGCAAGGCUGAAACUCAAAGGAAUUGACGGGGGCCCGCACAAGCGGUGGAGCAUGUGGUUUAAUUCGAAGCAACGCGAAGAACCUUACCAGGUCUUGACAUCCUCUGCCAACCCUAGAGAUAGGGCGUUCCCCUUCGGGGGACAGAGUGACAGGUGGUGCAUGGUUGUCGUCAGCUCGUGUCGUGAGAUGUUGGGUUAAGUCCCGCAACGAGCGCAACCCUUGAUCUUAGUUGCCAGCAUUCAGUUGGGCACUCUAAGGUGACUGCCGGUGACAAACCGGAGGAAGGUAGGGGAUGACGUCAAAUCAUCAUGCCCCUUAUGACCUGGGCUACACACGUGCUACAAUGGAUGGUACAAAGAGUUGCGAACCCGCGAGGGUAAGCGAAUCUCAUAAAGCCAUUCUCAGUUCGGA